rnacentral:rRNA from 1 species
UACGUAGGGGGCAAGCGUUGUCCGGAUUUAUUGGGCGUAAAGAGCGUGUAGGCGGUUUGGUAGGUCCGCUGUGAAAACUCGAGGCUCAACUUCGAGACGCCGGUGGAAACCAUCAGGCUAGAGUCCGGAAGAGGAGAGUGGAAUUCCUGGUGUAGCGGUGAAAUGCGCAGAUAUCAGGAAGAACACCCGUGGCUAAGGCGGCUCUCUAGUACGGUACUGACGCUGAGACGCGAAAGCGUGGGGAGCGAACAGG